UCAAAUAAAAAAAAGUCGUGUGGAAGCCACAUUUUGCAAAUUUUUCAGCAAGUCGAAACGGGACAGAUUCACUUAUUACUACUAAUGAUUUACGACGACAACAGAAGGACAAUGGCCAGCCAUGAGACACAGAUUGGCAGCAAAGUGUUGUCCACUUGGAAUGCAUUACAUUGUACAUGCCUGGAUAUACCAAAGGGGCAUCUGCAUUAUAAUAGCAAUGGAACACAGGGGUCAGUGACCCAAUGAUGCAAGAGAAUCCUCCAGUAAGAACUGCAACAGAUCUGUGUAAAUCUGGUUCCCUGUUCUUCAUUCCUGAAAAUGGAGCUGGAAGCAUUAAACUGAAUUUGGACUACCGUAUAUACUCGAGUAUAAGCUGAUCCGAAUAUAAGCCGAGGUACCUAAUUUUACCUAA